rnacentral:lncRNA from 14 species
AAAAGUCCUAGAGACCUAAGAGCAAGGAGUGAUUUGGAGAGAGAAUUAAAGCCAAGGAGUAUGAGUGAAAGGGUGGAAGAGAGAACCCACAAAAUACCAAAGACCAGCUACGCCCUACCAUGCUGGGACACCUUGCCUUCAAUUUAACAGAGUCUAUUGACUGUAAACUUGCUGCUUAUAUGUACGUGUGCUUAUGUCCGAUCCCUGGCACCCAGCGUCCUGGACAGAAAUAAAACUGGACUAUUUGGAAUAUUUUGGAAGUGUGCCCGAAUUGGCGAACGUAAGAGUCCUUAUGUCGCCAUAUGCUGUAUAGUGAUGGCCUUCAGCAUCCUCUUCAUACAGUAGCUUUGGAAACUACCAGCACGUGAUUGCCAUCAGACUGCACACAGGACUUGCCUCCAGAAAAUAACGGGGAGAAUGGUUACGCCUCUUGUCUCUGAACAUGGAAUGAGAUGAAUUUCGAGAUGCUGUUCUCUCUUUUUAUGCUAUUGGACCAACGGACUGUAUGAAUAAUCACGAUGUAACAGGAAAUACAUAGGAACGUGAUUGCAGCCAUCGACCUCGGUUCUCUCACUCCAGUAUUACGCUCUACAAACGUCAUCCUGUUACGCCAGGACUGCUUUUCCUAAGGUUCUCCAGGCACGAAGUAGAAACCCAGUGGCCAGUUCCACAGGCUUGCUUCUUUGACUAGGGCUUCAAAAUAAUGUCUUCACAUUGUGAUACCUUCUAGCGACUGGCCUAUUUUUACUUAGAAAAGAAAAUGGAUCUAUUUUUGUUGUUGCCAUUCUUAGGAAUUGCAUUCAUAUUUAAACCCUUUUGAUUGCUAACCAGAGUACCUCUAUUCUUGGCAAAUUCUGUACUUUAUUACAGGUGUUUAAAGUAGUUUAAACAAAACUCCAUUUCUUUAAUUAGCGUAAGAGUUGGACUUCUGGUCACAAAUGUAGAGCUGCCGUCCUACGAAGGAGAGUAUCUUAUAAUGACAAAAGCGGCAAGCAGAAUGAUGACUGAAUAUGCAUUAUACAUUUUUCGUUCUCUGUGGUGUUAAGUCUUCCAAAUAGAACAUCCAUUGUAGUUACCAAAAAAAAAAAAAAAAAAAA